rnacentral:rRNA from 1 species
ACUGCUCAGUAACACGUGGACAACCUACCCUUAGGACAGGUAUAAACCCGGGAAACUGGGUAUAAUCCCUGAUAGUCCUCGACUGCUGGAAUGCAUCGAGGCCGAAAGCUCCGGCGCCUAAGGAUGGGUCUGCGGCCUAUCAGGUAGUAGUGGGUCUAAAGUACCUACUAGCCUACGACGGGUACGGGUUGUGAGAGCAAGAGCCCGGAGAUGGAUUCUGAGACACGAAUCCAGGCCCUACGGGGUGCAGCAGGCGCGAAAACUUUACAAUGCCGGCAACGGCGAUAAGGGGACCUCGAGUGCCAGGUUACAAAUCUGGCUGCCGUGAUGCCUAAAAAGCAUUGCAUAGCAAGGGCCGGGCAAGACCGGUGCCAGCCGCCGCGGUAACACCGGCGGCUCGAGUGGUAACCGUUAUUAUUGGGUCUAAAGGGUCUGUAGCCGGCCGGAUAAGUCUCUUGGGAAAUCCAGCAGCUCAACUGUUGGGCUUCCAGGAGAUACUGUCUGGCUCGAGGCCGGGAGAGGUGAGAGGUACUUCAGGGGUAGGGGUGAAAUCUUGUAAUCCUUGAAGGACCACCAGUGGCGAAGGCGUCUCACCAGAACGGACCUGACGGCAAGGGACGAAAGCUAGGGGCACGAACCGGAUUAGAUACCCGGGUAGUCCUAGCCGUAAACGAUACUCGCUAGGUGUCGGCCACGGUGCGACCGUGGUCGGUGCCGUAGGGAAGCCGUGAAGCGAGCCACCUGGGAAGUACGGCCGCAAGGCUGAAACUUAAAGGAAUUGGCGGGGGAGCAC